rnacentral:rRNA from 1 species
CCUACGGGGUGCAGCAGUGAGGAAUAUUGGUCAAUGGGCGGGAGCCUGAACCAGCCAAGUCGCGUGAGGGAAGACGGUCCUACGGAUUGUAAACCUCUUUUGCCGGGGAGCAACGGGGUCCUUGCGAGGGCCCGAUGAGAGUACCCGGAGAAAAAGCAUCGGCUAACUCCGUGCCAGCAGCCGCGAUAAUACGGAGGAUGCGAGCGUUAUCCGGAUUCAUUGGGUUUAAAGGGUGCGCAGGCGGGCCUUUAAGCCGGCGGUGAAAUCGCGGGGCUCAACCCCGCCGAGCCGUCGGAACUGGGGGCCUUGAGUGCGGCGGAGGCAUGCGGAAUGCGCGGUGUAGCGGUGAAAUGCAUAGAUAUCGCGCAGAACCCCGAUUGCGAAGGCAGCGUGCCGUGCCGCCACUGACGCUGAGGCACGAAAGCGCGGGGAUCGAACAGGAUUAGAUACCCGAAUAGUC